AGGCACUAAGAAACUAUCUAGUUUCUACUUGAGAGCUGAGAUCUCACAUCUACAAUGCCAAAGCAACGUCAAAAAAAUCGAGCAAAGCAAAGCAAGCAGGAUAUGGCUUCUCUGACCAAUGAAGCAGCAAGUUCUUCAUCUUCUUCACUCCCACGUUCUUCGACUGAUCAAAAUCUGUAAGAAAAUUUAUGGACUUAUCACAUGUUUAUUAGAGUAAACAACAAUUGAUAAAUGAUUUAGACUAAAUAAUAUGAAUAUGGAAACAGAACUCAAUUCUAGUAACCUAAUCAAUGUGUAUAUCUAUUGAUAAGGGAUGGAAAUCUAUUUACUGGAUUAUUAACUUAAUUACAAAGAUAUGAUAUCAUAAGGAUUCUUAAGAGUGAAGUUGGAGUCCUAUUGAACUUCCUUUAUGGGAGGGGUUCAAGGCUAAACCUAACUCAUAUAUAAGGAUGUAUAAGUCCCUGCAACCUCUACGACUAAGAGCAUAAGUGCUUGCCCCAUUCAUAAGAAGCUCAAACCUAGAGAAUUGCAUAAGACUUGUGCUCGUGGCUGCUUCAAUCAGUUCAAUCGAUCCUACAUGUAUCAACUUUAAUUUAUUUAUCCUGGAUAUAUAUACAAUUAUGUCUAUAUUCUUGUGAAUGAUCUUGUGACAACUUUAUGUGUAUUCUCACAAGUGGUAUCAGAGCCACAUUCAGAAAAGUAUAGAUCGUUGUAUGUAUAUGAUCUAUAUCAUGGCUAUAAACAAAGAAGAAAGCUUUUGGGGCAAAACCCAGAAAAGACUACGGGUCAGAUCCAAGCUAUCUGGGUCAAUCCGCUUUUAUUUUCACUUCUGGUUUUUGUUUUUGAUCAUACAGAACGUGAAAACAACAAGAGCAUGUCCUCCCCACUAUACAGCACAACAAACCAAUGGAGAAACAAAAAAAAAAUAGAAAAGUGGGCAUGGCUCGCUACCUCCCGACAAUUAACGAACCAAUAGCAAUGGCAUACGAUUACAGAAAUUUGGAAUACCAGACAUGACGACUUGAAAGGGAUGGUUUUUGCCUUCUUGGCGUUGUUAUUUCCAACCCCACGCGGCAAAUCAAGGAAGAGAAAGUUUAAUGGCUUUGGACGGUUUCCCUUCAGACCUACUUAAGCGGGAUUGAAUAAUUCCAGAUAAGAAAUUUUCUAUUGAUCUUCUUUUGAAAUUUAGUUUUCUGCUACUUGAUUACUGAUUGCAGUCAUGUUUCGUAAGAAUCUAAUAUUUUUCCUUGAUAGUCCCAUGUCAUGAAAAGUUUGUGACCAGGUUUUAGGCAUGAGCCUUGGACAACAUUAAUGCAGCCAUUUGAUCUCGUUGAUUUCUCAUUGUAAGAGCAAUCAGUUAACAAUAAACAUAAGUUGUUGUGAUUCCAUUUGAUUUUGGAAAAAGCAUUGGAAUCUUCCGGUAUGAUUGCAGCAUUGUGGGCAGAGAAAUAGUGAUAAUAAUAUCAUUCUCUUCCUAUCUAGAAACAUGUGUAGAUGCAUGUAAUAUGCCGAUUUUGGUUGAAUUCAGAUUACUGAGAUUACAUGCAUUAUACUUGUUUAGACUUUUUUGUCAUGGUCGGAUACAUUUGAGUUUCAUGAAAACAUGAUCUAAUUGCAUACUUAAGAAUUGAAUGAAAUGCUAUGUUUUGUUAUUGGCUUAGAUAACUUGUUUUCAGUAAAUUAGUUUAAUUGGUUUGAACUAUUAGACCAAUCCUUGUACAAAUAGAGCAAAAUUUUAUUCAGUAUCUGUUUUAAUACAGCUCAUAGAAUCGUCAAUCUUGAAUGACCAUAGUCUUAUGCUUAUACAUAUAGCAUGUAUAUUUAAUUGCAAGAAUAUGCCAUUGUCAUUUAGAAAAGUUUGACCGAGUUGCAAAUCACAAAGACGUUAUCAUGGCUUGCGGACCUUCCUCUAUUGUUUUCUUUUUAGUCUGCCAAUUGCAUCUGCAGGUUUUCACUUUAAUGGCUCCCACAUACAUAUAUCUAUUAUGUGUAUUGGUUUUGCUUUAGCUUCAGGGUUACUUUUUGACUAAUGAGUAAUCUAGCAGAUAGUUUCACAUGGUGGAGGGAAGAUAAGGCUUUCAAAAAGAACUUGAACAUGUGCCAAAUAAGUGCUUAAUUGUUUGUACUAUAAAUGUGAUUAUCUAUUAUUGUGCAUAUAGAAUCGUAGACCAAAUAUAUGGCCGUAGUAGGCAAGCGGCAAGCCUCCAAUUUGUGGAAUAUCAGGAUGUAGAAAUAGAAACAACUUCCGAAAUGAGGAGGACUGAUUUGGCAUCAACAACACUAGCUUAUUUUGAUACAAACAAGUUCUUUUUGGUGGGAUAAUUCUUUUAAUUGUUCUUUUCCUGCGUUGGUGAUUGUAAUUUUGUGCUCGCUUCUGCUGCAUACUUACUUGAUGGUUGUCUGGAUGCUUUUAAAAUUGGCCUUCAUAUAUGUAUAAUCAUUCAUAAAGAUAUAGCCUUGAUACGUACGUUUCAAAGGUGAUGCAUCUAGUGUUGAUAAUUAUAAUGUGUGCGUAUAUACAUACAUGGACAUGUCGUUCAUUACUGGUCAAGAGAAGGUAAAUUGUUUUAGCUCUGAUCAAGCUGUGUGGCAUGCAUAGCCACUAUACUUUACAUGAUUGCUGGCUACCAUUAAAGUUUUGUUUUGUAUCUCUUCUGGUAUAGACUAUUGAGUGCAUAUCAGGUUUGGAUUGGUUAUUUCUAAGGUUGUUUUACUAAUUGGUGUUACUACCAUAUAAAGACUUGUCUUUUUGGACAAUGAGCAUUGACGUUGCUUUUAAGUAGAAAUAUAUAUUUUCUCCUUCUUCUAUAAUGAAUUUUGAGCUACAGAACAGCAAAACAGGUUAAAAACUAACCAAUUUGGUUUUAGUGCAUCUUAUUGUUAUGAAAAGUGGUUAGGAAUACACUGAAGCUAUAUUUGCUUUUAAUGUAUUGAAAUGCAGAAAACUAUAUUAAGGUCAUUAUAGUUCUGUUCUGCUAGUGUAUCUUCAUAUGGUUGUUGUUUAGAUAUCUAUAUUUGUUUAUAGAUAGUUUUCAGCUGCAUAAUUAUAUAAAAAGCUUAUGCAUAUGUUAUUUAUGCCACUUACUUUAAUAUGUGUUAGUCUGUAUCAGAUUGAUAUGCACACAGUGAUGAAAAAUUGCUGGAUAUGCAUCUGUUAGAAUAGACUUGCAGUAAUUCUUAGCAAAUAUUGGCUAUCAACACGCGGUCUAACGUGAGUUGGAAAAUGAAGCUAAUUUUCUAGCUGGUAGCUAGUUAUUGUUUUGAGCAAUGUAAAUACGUACCACUUUAUCUAGUUUUGGUAUAACCUAAUAUUGUUCCUUCAUGAUCAUUAUUCUUAGUUUGAUUUUGGGUAGUGGAACAAGACAUAUGCUCUUACAAAUAUAUGUGGAAGGUUUUGUUUUGAGCUAUUUGCAUUUUAAUGACAAAUAUAUCUACAUGCCAAUUUGCUCACCUAGUUUAAUAUGUAAUUGAGCUUUAUGAGUAUGUGUGAUUGUAUGGACAAUCAAGUAAAGAAUUAAGAGCUACUUUUGUGAUAUAUAUGCGUUAUUAUACAGAAACACAAAAGAGAUAUGGAUAGAGGUAUGUACUUUUUCAUUUCCGCUGUGCUAUAUAUCAAAUCAUAUGUAAGAAUAUGGUAAUUGUAUACGGUUCUAUUUAUCUUCCUUUAUUUAGCCAAGUGGUUCUCUAAUUCUUUACUUAACUGAGCCUACAGGAAAUACAGUAAAGGAUGUUAAAGAACACAAAUGGAGAAAAGUUAUUACUCAUACUAAGGAAGAUGUAUGCAAGACGGCAUAUGUUUUUAGGUCAGCUAAAGGUGUUCCUGAGUUUUCGAGGCGACGAUACGCUAUAAUUUUAAAGAUCAUUUGCACACCGCUUUGUGUCAGAGGGGAAUUGAGACCUUCAGAGAUGAUAUGCUUACAAGAGGAGAAGACAUAUCACAAGAGCUUCUCAAAGUAACUGAGGGGUCGGGAGUUUCAAUCGCCGUCUUCUCUAAAGAUUAUGCUUCAUCAAGGUGGUGCUUAGAUGAACUGGUCAAUAUACUUGAAUGCAGAAAAUCAAAAGGACAAGAGGUGAGACCAGUUUUCUACAAGGUUGAUCCCUCAGAUGUAAGAAAGCAAACAGGUGCUUUCGGUGAUGCAUUUGCUAAACUAGAUCAAUGCAAAUUUAAGGACAGCAUGAGCAAAUGGAGGAAGGCUCUCUACGAAGCAGCAACUUUGUUUAGAUGGACAUACGAGGAAGACCGAUAUGUUAUUAACACCCACUAGCUUGUUAAUUAGUCUGAUUUUUUUAAAUUUUUUUUGAAGACACCAUUAAUCUACUACUUUAUUUGAUUUCGUAUAUAUAUGCUUUUAAAUUCAUAGGUACGAAGCUAUAUUUAUCAACAACAUUGUUGGGGAGCUGUCUGCCCGAGUAGUAAACACUUCAUGUGAGUUGCAGAUAGUUGAACAUCCAAUUGGAUUAGAGUCUUGUAGACAUGAUGUCAACAGACUUUUACAUGCUGACGAAAAUAUUGUUCGCAUUGUAGGCAUUUGGGGCCCUAGUGGAAUAGGAAAGACCACAAUUACAAAAGCUGUAUUUAUUUCAAUUCGCCAUAAGUUUGAUAGUAAUUGUUUCUUGGCAGAUGUUAGAUCUAAUUCAAAUAGCCUAAUCCAACUGCAAGAGAUACUUUUGUUUGAUAUUUUAAGGGACUCAACUUUGAAGGUGAGCAGUGUUGAUCAAGGAGUUAGUUUUAUAAAGACAAGGAUGCAACAUAAAAAAGUUCUCUUAAUUCUAGGUGACGUGAGUCAUUCUAGCUAAGUACAAAACUUAGCUCCAUUCUCUGAUUGUUUUGGGCUGGGCAGUAGAAUUAUCAUAACAACAAGAGAUAAACGUUUGCUAACUGCUCAUCAAGUUGAUGAAGUGUACGAGGUCAAAAUGUUAGAUUAUGAUCGAAUUUGGAGUUGUUUAGCUUGAAUGCAUUUAAAAGAAAUGGACCUCCAGACGAUUAUUUGGAACUUACACAACAUGUUGUUUGCUAUGCUCAGGGCCUUCCAUUAGCUUUGAUAGUUUUAGGCUCUCAUAUAUUUCGUAGAAGCAGAGAGGAAUGGGAUGCUACCUUAGACAGUUGUAAAGGAGAAGAUCCCCACAUAGAGAUAAGAAACGUUCUCAAAAUAAGUUAUGAUACUCUGGGGUAGAUUUAAAAGGAUAUUUUCUUGAUAUCACUUAUUUCUUAAGAUGGGAGCUUGUAGACUAAGUGAGACCAAUACUAGAAGCUUGCUACAACCUCAAAUUAGUGACUGGUAUUGCACAACUGCAAGAAAAAGCCUUGAUAAGAAUUGAUAGAGAUAAGAUUUGGAUGCAUGACUUGAUAGAGGAAAUGGGAAAAGGCACAAUGUAUCAAAUGUCGCCUUGUGAGCCUGGCGAACGUAGUAGAGUGUGAAGUGAAGAAAAUGUCGACCAUGUUCUAACAAAUAACACAGGAAAAAAAUAAAGUUAUAGGCAUCAAGGUCCCAUGCGAUAUGGGUGGCUUGAUUGGCGUUAUAGUCCAUUGCAAUCUUUUCCAUAUGAUUUUCAUGCAAACAAACUUGCACACCUCAAUAUUCGUGACAGCCGCGGAAUCACUCAACUAUGGGAGGAUGUAAGAAACUUAUCCCUCUCUCUCUCUCCGACCUAGUCACCUUCUUCUGGCGAUAUCUCCUCCGUUUGGCGGUAGAUUUUGAUGCCACAGGUAUUGUUGGAAAUCUCUCCUCCUCUUUUUCAAGUGGUUUGGUGGCUUGGUUUGGACCAUGGAAGGUGCACCAAGGAGAAGAAGACCCCUGCAUCACUUUUUUUUGGGUUUUUGGUCGGAACUUAGGUUUCCGACAACCUCCGGCAACGAUUGUUUUUGGGUCUUUGAGCUCUUGGAUCAUACAACCAUCUCUCAAAGUCUCUUGGUUCAAUUUGAA